GAUGAACGCUGGCGGCGUGCUUAACACAUGCAAGUCGAACGGUAAAGCAGUGCUUGCUCUGUGUGUCCGUGGCGCACGGGGGAGUAACACAUGAGCAACCUGCCCCUUUGUCUUUGAUAUGCGCUGGAAACGCCGUCUAAUACUGGAUAUUAGCUCCGCCCGCAUAGUGAGCGGUUUGGAAGAUUUUUCGGUUUGGGGUUGGCUCACGGCCUAUCAUCUUGUUGGUUAGGUAAGGGCUCACCAAGGCGUCGACGGGUAAGCGGCCUGAGAGGGUGAACGGCCACACUGGGACUGGGACAAGGCCCAGACUCCUACGGGAGGCAGAAGUGGGGAAUGUUGGACAAUGGGCGAAAGCCUGAUGCAGCAACGCCGCGUGAGGGAAGAACGCCUUCGGGUUGGAAACCUGUUUUAGCAGGGAAGAAGGGAAAGUGACGGUAACUGCAGAAAGAGCGACGGCUAACUACGUG
rnacentral:rRNA from 1 species